CAAUAGCGUAUAUUAAAGUUGUUGCAGUUAAAAAGCUCGUAGUUGGAUUUCGGGGCAGCCUGGCUGGUCCGCCGCAAGGCGAGUACUGGUCAGCCGCCCUUCCUCUCGAAAGCCCCGACUGCUCUUUAUUGCAGUGGUCGGGUAGUUCGGGACGUUUACUUUGAAAAAAUUAGAGUGCUCAAGGCAGGCCUACGCCUGAAUACAUUAGCAUGGAAUAAUGGAAGAGGACCUCGGUCCUAUUUUGUUGGUUUCCAGGACCGAAGUAAUGAUUAAGAGGGACAGUUGGGGGCAUUCGUAUUUAAUUGUCAGAGGUGAAAUUCUCGGAUUUAUGAAAGACGAACAACUGCGAAAGCAUUUGCCAAGGAUGUUUUCAUUAA
rnacentral:rRNA from 1 species